rnacentral:rRNA from 1 species
AUUGAACGCUGGCGGCAGGCCUAACACAUGCAAGUCGAACGAGUGGCGGACGGGUGAGUAAUGUCUGGGAAACUGCCUGAUGGCGGGGGAUAACUACUGGAAACGGUAGCUAAUACCGCAUACCAUCAGAUGUGCCCAGAUGGGCUUAGCGAGUUGUGGGGGUAACGGCUCACCAAUGCGACGAUCCCUAGCUGGUCUGAGAGGAUGACCAGCCAAACUGGAACUGAGACACGUGCCAGCCUCCGACGGGAGGCAGCAGUGGGGAAUAUUGCACAAUGGGCGCAAGCCUGAUGCAGCCAGGCCGCGUGGAUGAAGAAGGCCUUCGGGUUGUAAAGUACUUUCAGCGGGGAGGCGUUACCCGCAGAAGAAGCACCGGCUAACUCCGUGCGAGCAGCCGCGGUAAUAC